UGGGGAAUUUUGGACAAUGGGCGAAAGCCUGAUCCAGCAAUGCCGCGUGUGUGAAGAAGGCCUUCGGGUUGUAAAGCACUUUUGUCCGGAAAGAAAUCCUUGGCUCUAAUACAGUCGGGGGAUGACGGUACCGGAAGAAUAAGCACCGGCUAACUACGUGCCAGCAGCCGCGGUAAUACGUAGGGUGCAAGCGUUAAUCGGAAUUACUGGGCGUAAAGCGUGCGCAGGCGGUUUGCUAAGACCGAUGUGAAAUCCCCGGGCUCAACCUGGGAACUGCAUUGGUGACUGGCAGGCUAGAGUAUGGCAGAGGGGGGUAGAAUUCCACGUGUAGCAGUGAAAUGCGUAGAGAUGUGGAGGAAUACCGAUGGCGAAGGCAGCCCCCUGGGCCAAUACUGACGCUCAUGCACGAAAGCGUGGGGAGCAAACAGGAUUAGAUACCUUGGUAGUCCACGCCCUAAACGAUGUCAACUAGUUGUUGGGGAUUCAUUUCCUUAGUAACGUAGCUAACGCGUGAAGUUGACCGCCUGGGGAGUACGGUCGCAAGAUUAAAACUUAAAUGAAUUGACGGGGUCAUA
rnacentral:rRNA from 1 species